GUAGGUGGCAAGCGUUGUCCGGGAAUUAUUGGGGCGCAAAGCGCGCGCAGGCGGUCCUUUAAGUCUGAUGUGAAAGCCCACGGGCUCAACCGUGGAGGGUCAUUGGAAACUGGGGGACUUGAGCACAGAAGAGGAAAGCGGAAUUCCAAGUGUAGCGGUGAAAUGCGUAGAGAUUUGGAGGAACACCAGUGGCGAAGGCGGCUUUCUGGUCUGUAACUGACGCUGAGGCGCGAAAGCGUGGGGAGCAAACAGGAUUAGAUACCCUGGUAGUCCACGCCGUAAACGAUGAGUGCUAAGUGUUAGGGGGUUUCCGCCCCUUAGUGCUGCAGCUAACGCAUUAAGCACUCCGCCUGGGGAGUACGGCCGCAAAGGCUGA
rnacentral:rRNA from 1 species